ACGAUAACAUGUGCCAUGUCUUUGACGCAUGCAAGUUGCCAAUGACGGACAAAUUCAUGGUCACGAGGCCUUUCAAGUACAACUAUGAUGCUAAGUUCAUUUAGCAUGACACUUAUCCCUGCUUGUUCAAGACGAUCUUUCAAAUAUUUGGCAUUGUCGAGGCAUUUUUUAACAUCCUUUUGAAGGCCAAUUUGACCUUUAGCGCUCAAGCUAUACCAUAAGAAAAUUGGAGUUAAACCG